CUACGGGGUGCUGCAGUGGGGAAUCUUGUGCAAUGGGCGAAAGCCUGACACAGCAACGCCGCGUGCGGGAAGAAGGCCUUCGGGUCGUAAACCGCUUUCAGCAGGAACGAAAAUGACGGUACCUGCAGAAGAAGGUGCGGCCAACUACGUGCCAGCAGCCGCGGUGACACGUAGGCACCAAGCGUUGUCCGGAUUUAUUGGGCGUAAAGAGCUCGUAGGCGGUUCAGCAAGUCGGGUGUGAAAACUAUGGGCUUAACCCAUAGCCUGCAUCCGAAACUGCUGUGACUAGAGUUCGGUAGGGGAGAGGGGAAUUCCUAGGGUAGCGGUGAAAUGCGCAGAUAUUAGGAGGAACACCGAUGGCGAAGGCACCUCUCUGGGCCGAUACUGACGCUGAGGAGCGAAAGCGUGGGUAGCAAACAGGAUUAGAUACCCCCGUAGUC
rnacentral:rRNA from 1 species